rnacentral:tRNA from 2 species
GCUCCUGUAGCCCAAUUGGAAGAGGCCGCUAUCUCAAAAAUAGUGUGUUGUGUGAGUUCGAGUCUCACCAGGAGUACCA